rnacentral:rRNA from 1 species
ACUACGGGGUGCAGCAGUAGGGAAUCUUCCACAAUGGGCGCAAGCCUGAUGGAGCAACACCGCGUGAGUGAAGAAGGGUUUCGGCUCGUAAAGCUCUGUUGUUGGAGAAGAACGUGCGUGAGAGUAACUGUUCACGCAGUGACGGUAUCCAACCAGAAAGUCACGGCUAACUACGUGCCAGCAGCCGCGGUAAUACGUAGGUGGCAAGCGUUAUCCGGAUUUGUUGGGCGUAAAGCGAGCGCAGGCGGGUGCUUAGGUCUGAUGUGAACGCCUUCGGCUUAACCGAAGAAGUGCAUCGGAAACCGGGUGACUUGAGUGCAGAAGAGGACAGUGGAACUCCAUGUGUAGCGGUGGAAUGCGUAGAUAUAUGGAAGAACACCAGUGGCGAAGGCGGCUGUCUGGUCUGCAACUGACGCUGAGGCUCGAAAGCAUGGGUAGCGAACAGGAUUAGAUACCCCAGUAGUC